rnacentral:rRNA from 1 species
GACGAGGGGUCCUAGCGUUGUUCGGAAUCAUUGGGCGUAAAGCGGGUGUAGGUGGCUUUGUAAGUCAGGAGUGAACUCCCCGAGCUUAACUUGGGAAGUGCUUUUGAAACUGCAAAGCUUGAAUGUGGGAGAGGAUCGUGGAAUUCCAGGUGUAGUGGUGAAAUACGUAGAUAUCUGGAGGAACACCGGUGGCGAAGGCGGCGAUCUGGCCCAACAUUGACACUGAGACCCGAAAGCGUGGGGAUCAAACAGG